rnacentral:rRNA from 1 species
GACGAACGCUGGCGGCGUGCUUAACACAUGCAAGUCGAGCGGUAAGGCCCUUUCGGGGGUACGACGAGCGGCGAACGGGUGAGUAACACGUGGGUGACCUGCCCUUAGCUCUGGGAUAAGCCUGGGAAACUGGGUCUAAUACCGGAUAUGACUCCAUGACGCAUGUUGUGGGGUGGAAAGCCUUGUGCGGCUAGGGAUGGGCCCGCGGCCUAUCAGCUUGUUGGUGGGGUGAUGGCCACCAAGGCGACGACGGGUAGCCGGCCUGAGAGGGCGACCGGCCACACUGGGACUGAGACACGGCCCAGACUCCUACGGGAGGCAGCAGUGGGGAAUCUUGCGCAAUGGGCGAAAGCCUGACGCAGCGACGCCGCGU